CCUACGGGAGGCAGCAGUAGGGAAUAUUGCUCAAUGGGGGAAACCCUGAAGCAGCAACGCCGCGUGGAGGAUGAAGGUUCUCGGAUUGUAAACUCCUUUUGUUAGAGAAGAUAAUGACGGUAUCUAACGAAUAAGCACCGGCUAACUCCGUGCCAGCAGCCGCGGUUAUACGGAGGGUGCAAGCGUUACUCGGAAUCACUGGGCGUAAAGAGCGCGUAGGCGGGAUAGCAAGUCAGCUGUGAAAUCCUAUGGCUUAACCAUAGAACUGCAUUUGAAACUGUUAUUCUAGAGUAAGGGAGAGGUAGGUGGAAUUCUUGGUGUAGGGGUAAAAUCCGUAGAGAUCAAGAGGAAUACUCAUUGCGAAGGCGACCUGCUAGAACAUAACUGACGCUGAUGCGCGAAAGCGUGGGGAGCAAACAGGAUUAGAUACCCGAGUAGUC
rnacentral:rRNA from 1 species